rnacentral:rRNA from 1 species
UCCUACGGGGGGCAGCAGUGGGGGAUAUUGCACAAGGGGGGGAACCCUGAUGCAGCGACGCCGCGUGGGUGAAGAAGCGCCUCGGCGCGUAAAGCCCUGUCAGCAGGGAAGAAAAUGACGGUACCUGAAGAAGAAGCCCCGGCUAACUACGUGCCAGCAGCCGCGGUAAUACGUAGGGGGCAAGCGUUAUCCGGAUUUACUGGGUGUAAAGGGGGCGCAGACGGCGAUGCAAGCCAGGAGUGAAAGCCCGGGGCCCAACCCCGGGACUGCUCUUGGAACUGCGUGGCUGGAGUGCAGGAGGGGCG